UUUGCCGGAGAAAUGGACAGCGUUUUAAAUGAACUUUAGAAAAGGCAAAGAGACUUGCCAGAAGAUAUUUUGGAAACACUAAAUUCAUUUUUUUUUUUUUUUUGCUGGAGACAAAGAAAGGAGCUCUGAUAAAGUGGAAAACUGCACAAACCCUCUGCUGGUACCUCCUCAGCAAGCACAGAAGUGUCUUUCUUCCUGCCUGAACCAAACCCUUCACUGUGCCUUAGGUGUUACCACAUGCCCCCUGCUCAUGAGCUUACUGACAGGGUCAAAUGUGGUUUCUAAAUCCUCUAGCUUCCGUCUCUCCCCUCACUACAUCUCCCCAGGGAUAUCUUUUAAAUUACCAUCUGUACUGACAUGCACAUGCCGGCAAAAAAUAGCAAAUCAUCAGAAUACAGCUCAAUAAACCAUUUCAAAGAGAACAAAAAAUACACCUCUGUGCCCGCUGCACAUCAAGAAACAGAAUACAGCAGUGCCGGGAGAGCCUGUCUAUGCUCCAUUCUAUAUACUAAUUGCCACACCUGAGUGGUAACCACUAGAAGUUAAUUUCCCUUAUGUUUAAAAUUUAUAUAACUAGACAUUCGUAUUACACACUGUACCAUCUAGUUUCAUUCACUCAAAAAUACGUCACUAGAAUCGUCCAUAUUAAGGCAUGGAAGAAAGUUUUGGAAGCCUGACGUCCAAGAUCGAGGCAUCAGCAGCGCUGAUUCCUUGUAAAGGAGAUUUUGUUCCAUGCUCAUCUCUCAGCUUCCGGCGGCUUGCCGGCUCUCUUGGGCACUUCCGGUCUUGUAGAUGUAUCAUUUUGUUCUCUGCCUUCAUGUUCACGUGGCGCCAUCCCUAAUUGAAGAUGUCCGUCCACAAUUCCUGGAUAUUGAUAACACUAGGGGAUCAGAUUUUCCUAAAGACAGGAGGAGAAUGCACCUUCUGCUGGAAGCAAGAAAACAAGAAAACGAGAAGCAUCUUCUUUAGAACA